UCUAGGAUAUUGUUUAGAAUUGCUUGUAGUGCUGGUUUGGUGUUCAUGAAAUUUCUCAGGUGUUCUUUGUCAUGGAAGUAUCUAAUUUCCCCAUCAAUUUUGAAAGAUAAUUUUGCAGGAUACAACAGUCUAGGUUGGAAGUUAUUUUCUUUUAGGGCUUGAAAUACUUCACUCGGGGCUCUCCUUGACUUGAGGGUUUGUGUUGAGAAGUCUGCUGUGAUUCUGAUGGGCUUUCCUUUAGAGGAUGUGGUGAAACUGGACUUGAUGUGCACCCAUGUGACUCUCUUCUGGGACCCCACACCCUCCUCGCUACAGGGUAUAAAGGAGCUCCAAACACUACCACACAUCUCACAAGAGUCCCACAGGUCCCCGCAGACAGCAAUGACUGCACUGCCGAUGAAGCCACCACUGCAAAGCUUCCAGACCAAUCGUGUGCUGCAGACUGAGAACAUGGGAAGGGUAUUUGGUAACA
rnacentral:lncRNA from 1 species